rnacentral:ncRNA from 1 species
ACUCCCGUGAGAAUGCCCAUAGCCCCGUCUACUCGGGGCAAGGAGCUGGUAUCAGGCACACAUAGUUAGCCCACGACGCCUUGCUUAGCCACACCCCCAAGGGAAUUCAGCAGUGGUAGACAUUAAGCUAUGAGUGAAAACUUGACUUAGUUAGUGUUUAUUAAGGGCCGGUAAAUCUCGUGCCAGCCACCGCGGUUAUACGUGAGACCCAAGUUGACAGUUCUCGGCGUAAAGAGUGGUUAAGGAAUACCAUAAAAUAAAGUAGCACUCCAUCCACACUGUUAUACGUCUUUGAUGGACAGAAAAUCGCCCACGAAAGUGACUUUAUACAUACCUGAAUCCACGAAAGCUAUGGCACAAACUGGGAUUAGAUACCCCACUAUGCAUAGCCCUAAACACCGGCAGACACCCGCAUUUACUCAACUGCCCGCCUGGAUAUUACGAGCACUAGCUUAAAAUCCAAAGGACUUGGCGGUGCUUCAGAACCCCCUAGAGGAGCCUGUUCUAGAACCGAUUAUCCCCGUUCAACCUCACCUUUUCUUGCUCAAACCCGCCUAUAUACCUCCGUCGUCAGCUGACCUCAUGAGGGAUCCACAGUCAGCACAACUGGCACAGCCAAGUACGUCAGGUCGAGGUGUAGCUUAUGGAAAGGGAAGAAAUGGGCUACAUUCUCUACAAUAGAGCAUACGAACGAAAUGCUGAAAUAACAUUUCUGAAGGAGGAUUUAGCAGUAAGUAAGGAGUAGAGUGCCCUACUGAAGCCGGCUCUGAAGCGCGUACACACCGCCCGUCACUCUCCCCGAUAAAUAACAUCAACUACUUAAAAACUGAAAACAACAGAGGGGAGGCAAGUCGUAACAUGGUAAGAGUACCGGAAGGUGCCCUUGGCAAACACA